UAUAAGGAUACUCAGUUAGCUGCUAUGUUGUGUGGCUGUAGAGGUUGUCAGGAUUUCAUUACUGCGGUGAUUUUCCGUGUUGUCUGAGUUGCUCGAUGAUUGUGAGUUUAAGUAACCAUAUAUAAUCUCAUUUGAAUAAAGCCUGACUAGCCGUGCAGCAUAGUUACUGUCUGAACAUGGCAUAUUGAUUUUCUGAGUAAGUGU